UGCAAGUCGAACGAUGAUCCCAGCUUGCUGGGGGAUUAGUGGCGAACGGGUGAGUAACACGUGAGUAACCUGCCCUUGACUCUGGGAUAAGCCUGGGAAACUGGGUCUAAUACCGGAUAUGACCGCUCUGACGCAUGUCAUGGUGGUGGAAAGCUUUUGUGGUUUUGGAUGGACUCGCGGCCUAUCAGCUUGUUGGUGGGGUAAUGGCCUACCAAGGCGACGACGGGUAGCCGGCCUGAGAGGGUGACCGGCCACACUGGGACUGAGACACGGCCCAGACUCCUACGGGAGGCAGCAGUGGGGAAUAUUGCACAAUGGGCGCAAGCCUGAUGCAGCGACGCCGCGUGAGGGAUGACGGCCUUCGGGUUGUAAACCUCUUUCAGUAGGGAAGAAGCGAAAGUGACGGUACCUGCAGAAGAAGCGCCGGCUAACUACGUGCCAGCAGCCGCGGUAAUACGUAGGGCGCAAGCGUUAUCCGGAAUUAUUGGGCGUAAAGAGCUCGUAGGCGGUUUGUCGCGUCUGCUGUGAAAGACCGGGGCUCAACUCCGGUUCUGCAGUGGGUACGGGCAGACUAGAGUGAUGUAGGGGAGACUGGAAUUCCUGGUGUAGCGGUGAAAUGCGCAGAUAUCAGGAGGAACACCGAUGGCGAAGGCAGGUCUCUGGGCAUUAACUGACGCUGAGGAGCGAAAGCAUGGGGAGCGAACAGGAUUAGAUACCCUGGUAGUCCAUGCCGUAAACGUUGGGCACUAGGUGUGGGGGACAUUCCACGUUUUCCGCGCC
rnacentral:rRNA from 1 species